AACAACUUUAGAGUGUAUAAAUCAUUAUUUAAUGUUGUUACAAGGUAUUGCCAAUUCAGAUUUUGCAUUGCUUGAGAAGUAUUCGUGACCUGUGCAUAACUCUGUGAUCUUAUUAAUACGUAGCUUUUACUAACCUUGUAAUUGAUUUCGCAUAAUGUAUAUUAUGUUAAAUUAAAUACAUGAAUGCGUCACAAAUCAAAAUAGAUAACUAUCCUACUUUUAUGCACUGGUUAAAAUAA
rnacentral:ncRNA from 1 species